AAGAAAGUAAUUAAGAGCACACAGGGGAUGCCUUGGCUCUCAGAGGCGAUGAAAGACGUGAUAAGCUGCGAUAAGCUUCGGGGAUUAGCAAAUAUGAAUUGAUCCGAAGAUUUCUGAAUGGGGAAACCUGGCUAGUUGAAGACUAGUCGUACAAUGUACGCAAACCUGCCGAACUGAAACAUCUAAGUAAGCAGAGGAAGAGAAAAUAAUAAUGAUUUCCUAAGUAGUGGCGAGCGAACGGGAAAGAGCCCAAACCAUUCUUGUUACGGCAAGUAUGGGGUUGUAGGACUACGAUAUGAUUAUAAUGCAAUGAAGUGGAACAGGAUGGGAAGCCUGGCAAUAUAGAGUGAGAGCCUCGUACACGUAAGUACCAUUAGUCUAGUAGUAUCCUGAGUACCGCGAGGUCGGAGACGCCUUGUGGGAAUCUGCCGGCACCAUCCGGUAAGGCUAAAUACUCCUGAGAGACCGAUAGUGAACCAGUACCGUGAGGGAAAGGUGAAAAGAACCCCGAACAGGGGAGUGAAAUAGAACCUGAAACUGUGUGCUUACAAGCGGUCGGAGCGUCCAGGUGGCGUGACGGCGUGCCUUUUGCAUAAUGAGCCUACGAGUUACUCUUCUCUGGCAAGGUUAAGUGUUUAAGACACGGAUCCGAAGCGAAAGCGAGUCUGAAUAGGGCGUAUAGUCAGGGGAGGUAGACGCGAAACCUUGUGAUCUACCCAUGGACAGGUUGAAGGUGCGGUAACACGUACUGGAGGACCGAACCGAUAAACGUUGAAAAGUUUCCGGAUGAUCUGUGGGUAGGGGUGAAAGGCUAAUCAAACUGGGAAAUAGCUCGUACUCCCCGAAAUGUUUUUAGGAACAGCGUCGUGGUUUAGUUAAAUAGAGGUAGAGCUACUGAUUGGGUGCGGGGGAGUCAAAUCCUACCAAAUCCAGACAAACUCCGAAUGCUAUUUAAUAUACACGGCAGUGAGGCGCGGGGUGCUAAGGUCACGCGCCGAGAGGGAAAGAACCCAGACCAUCAGCUAAGGUCCCCAAGUUACAGUUAAGUUGAACUAACGAGGUCCGAUUGCAUAGACAGCUAGGAUGUUGGCUUGGAAGCAGCCAUUCAUUUAAAGAGUGCGUAACAGCUCACUAGUCGAGCGAUCGGGCAUGGAUAAUAAACGGGCAUAAAAUUGUACACCGAAGCUAUGGGUAAUAUUAAUAUUACGGUAGGGGAGCAUUCCAGCGGCAGCGAAGGUAUGACGUAAGUUGUGCUGGAGCUUCUGGAAAAGCAAAUGUAGGCAUAAGUAACGAUAAGGCAGGCGAGAAACCUGCCCGCCGAAAGGAUAAGGUUUCCUGAUCAACGCUAAUCGGAUCAGGGUUAGUCGGGGCCUAAGGAGAACCCGAAGGGGAUAUUCGAUGGACAACGGAUUAAUAUUUCCGUACUUUUUAUAACUGCGAUGUGGGGACGGAGUAGUGACACUGCCGCGAUCUGACGGAAUAGAUCGUUGAAGGCUGUAGGUAUAGGACUGGUAGGCAAAUCCGCCGGUCUUGCUGAACGCUGAUAGUACCGCAAACCUUCGGGGGCGUGGAUAGUGCAGGUAAUCAGACUUCCAAGAAAAACCGCUAAGCUUCAGGUUAUAAAAACCCGUACCGCAAACCGACACAGGUAUCCGGGAAGAGAAUUCUAAGGCGCUCGAGUGAAUCAUGGCUAAGGAACUCGGCAAAAUGGCCCUGUAACUUCGGGAGAAGGGGCGCUGGUAGCAAUAUCAGCCGCAGUGAAAAGGCCCAGGCGACUGUUUAACAAAAACACAUGGCUUUGCAAAAUCGAAAGAUGAAGUAUAAGGCCUGACACCUGCCCGGUGCUGGAAGGUUAAGAGGGGAUGUCAUCCG
rnacentral:ncRNA from 1 species